rnacentral:rRNA from 1 species
GAUGAACGCUGGCGGCGUGGAUAAGACAUGCAAGUCGAACGGGAUUUUUUUCUGUAGCAAUACAGGAAAAAGUCUAGUGGCGAACGGGUGCGUAACACGUGAGCAACCUGCCGUGAAGUGGGGGAUAGCUCGCCGAAAGGCGAAUUAAUACCGCAUGUGGCCAAGGAAGACAUCUUCCUGACGCCAAAGCCGGGGCAACCUGGCGCUUCUCGAGGGGCUCGCGGCCUAUCAGCUUGUUGGUGAGGUAACGGCUCACCAAGGCUAUGACGGGUAUCUGGUCUGAGAGGACGACCAGCCACACUGGAGCUGAGACACGGUCCAGACACCGACGGGUGGCAGCAGUCGAGAAUUUUUCACAAUGGGGGAAACCCUGAUGGAGCGACGCCGCGUGGAGGAUGAAGGUUUUCGGAUUGUAAACUCCUGUCAUUAGAGAACAAGGCACACGGUUUAACUGGCCGUGUGUUGAUAGUAUCUGAAGAGGAAGAGACGGCUAACUCUGUGCCAGCAGCCGCCGUAA